ensembl:lncRNA
GAUGGACUGGUUGGACCUCCUUGCAGUCCAAGGGACUCUCAAGAGUCUUCUCCAACACCACAGGACCAGAAUGAGCUACUGGAAUUUCCCCAUGUACCCCACCCACCUCUGGGCCUUAUCUCAUGCUGUUCCCUCUGCCUGUACUGGGAACUCUCCACACCUUCCUUCCCCUCUUCCAGAAGACGCCCUGCCCUUUUAGAGGUACACUCUGAACCUGGCCUGCCUACCCCUCUGAGCCCAGCUCAGUCCACUUCUCCCCUUGCUCACUCCGCCUCGGCCACACUGGCCUCCCUCUGCUCCUCACAUAAAGCCAAGUCCUUUCUUGCUCCAGGACUCUUGUCCUUGCUGUCCCCUUGGCCUGGAAGGCCCUUUUGCUGUCCUUGCUCCUCCUCGUCAUUCAGGUCACAGCUCCAAUGUCACCACCUCUGGGGUGACACAUGCCCUCUUUGCUCCUGCAUGGCCGAGACGACUGAGUGGUCACCUGUCUUCCAGGAGUUGAAGCCUCAGGGAAACGGAGUCUGCAUUCGUCUUGGUCGCGGUAACCCCAGCACCUGGAGGGAGACCUGGCACACAGAGAAACCAGGAGGAGAGGAGGGCUGCCAGGGAAGCCCAUCCCCAUCUUGGGGAGCUGAGAGUUUGCAGAUUGCCGACGUGACCAUGCACAGCACUGGGAGUAUACAGAUUGUGUCCAGGAUGGAAGGUAAGACCCCAAAGGACCUCAUGUCCACUCUUCUUUGGAUGAGGAAAACAAGAUCCAGAGAACAGAGGGAUUCACCCAAGACUACUUAAUUAAAUGUCAGGAGCAAGACUCUGGGUCUCCUGACAUUUGGGGUUCAUUUCUUAGUAACGGCACACAAGCCAUUCAAGCAAGGCAGUUACAGGCAAGUAACACCUGUCCCAGGACUUUGGUUGGAGUUGUCAGGAAUAAGGCACUUUCUUUCUCCUGAGGUUGCCCAGCUGGUCAGAUGUAACCCUAGAUAUUGUGAAACUCAUCUUUGUCAUUAACUAGACAGAGGCUACCUGAAGGUUAAGCCAAAGGGAUGGAGAGAGAUUUCAGAUGAUCUUCUUUAAGCACCUGGAUCCAGCUAUGCCUGAAUGCAGUAACAUGAAAUGGUUUCAGUGACACAAGUCAAAACCUUCCAAGUCCGAGACCAUUUGAAUUGGGUUUCUGUCACAUGUAACUGUAAGAGUCCUGACUCAUUCAAUUGUCCUCUUCUGGAGAAGAGAACCCAACCUUCUAAGAACAGCCUGUCAAACUUUGCAGGACUCGGCACAGCUGCUCCACAUCAAAGUGUUUAUGGGGCCCACGCUUGUUCUACCCAAUCUUUGAGCCUCCAAGAGUGCCUCUGUCUAGAAUGUGUUUUCCGCUUGUGUGCCUGGAAGACUCCUUUUCAUUCCCCCAAAUCCUCCCAGCAGUAACUACUUUUCUGAUUUUUUUUCCCAGUCUUCUCCAGAUGGAUCAUUUCUUCCCUUACUAUAUCAAGCAUUUGGUGUAUUUCUCUUAUGCUUUGUCUCUUGGUUUGCAAUCGUCAUUUAUUUAUAUAUUUGCUUCCCCCAGAGGUAAGGAACCAGUUUUCAAAUGCCCUGAUAUCUCCCAAGCUUAACACAGGUCCUGGUAUGUAGGAUGGAGCAGAACUGAACAGAACAUGGGACAGAAAGGCACUAAACAUAUAUAAUUGGCUGAUAUCUUUCAUAAUUAGCCAACGGGAGUCCGUGUCUCCAAAUUUCUCCUGAAGUCAUCUGCCAAAACUGGCCAGGGAAGCCUUUUGGAUAGAUGAGCCUUUUGAUACACUUCUACCAAGCCCUGACUUGGUUACGCGUUUUGGUUCCAGAUUCUCAUCCCUUGGGUUCUAAGCCUGGCUCUGUCACUUCCGGCCUGUGUGUCUGUAGAAAGGAGCCUUCACCUCUCUGGGCCCCAAGCUUCCGGGUUGGACAAAGUGCCACGGUGCUGUGUAAAGAGCUUGGAACGGCGUCCGGCACAUGGUAAGCACCCAGUAAAUCUUAGGUGUCAUUACUCAACACAGAGGAAACGAAAAUUAACAGGAACUUCAACGAGGACACUUUGUACUUUUCACUAUCACUCUGUUUCAUAUUAAACGGUGUUUGUGGGAGCGUGUACCGUGCCACCCUGUUUAAUUGGUUUAGAAGCACUUCUGAAAGCUCACCGCUGCCCCGAGCCCAGGCAUGAGGUUUCAACGUGAUUAACAAAGAUGUCCGUGGUCAUUUCAUAAAAUUGUCGAGCGUCAGGUACUUAGUGAGGAACAUCAUCACAUCGUUUCUGUGGGAGAAGUAGAUCAGAUUUAGAUCAUUUCGGCUAAUAACCGCAUUUUACAAGCCCAGGCUCUCCCAGGCCAGGUGGAAAAAACAGCUCAGAAAUGGGAAUUCACCACAGACCUUGUUCACUCCCUGGCGUUGCUCACCAGAGUCGGCACAGAAGCUCACCUCCCACCGUUGUGAAGCUAGAUGGAAUUCUCAGCUCCCAGGAAAUAGCGUGCUCCCACAGGGCUCUUUCUGACGAUUGGAAGGCUAGCCUACAUACGCGCCGAGUUUCCCUUAUCACAGAGUAUCAAAAAGGGUGGGAGGGCCAGGGAGAGCUCAGUUACUGAAAGCCUCCUGGGAUCAGGCAUUGUGCUUGAGGCCAUUAUCUCGUUAAAUCCCACAGCAUCCCUGGAAGAAAGGUACUGUGAUUAUACCCAUUUUGCAGAUGAGAAAACAAGGUCCAGAGAGGUGAACUGACUUGUCCAAAGUCACCCAGCAUUCUAACAUGGAAUAGAAGCAGAGCUGUCUCACCGCAAGGCCGGUUUUCCUCCAUACUUCAUCCGCGUCCUGGGGUGUCGUGUCCGGGAGCCCUUCCCAGCCUGACUCUGAGCCCAUUUCUGCUUUGGCUCCCAGCCUGUGUCCUACUGACUCGUACUGUCAAGCCUGGCAGAAGAUUCCGGCACAAGUUCUCUCUUGGGUAAUAUACAGAUGACCACUUAUGUAGUUUUUAAGCUAUUGGAACCAGCUUCCAGGAGGGUCCACGCCAUGGAUACACCAGUUUCUAAGUAAGGGAAACCUGUGUCCUAGAGAAGAACAACUCACAAUUCAUAUCCUACCGUGAUUUAUUCUCAGUUAAUGACGACGGCAAGUGACCUCCAUGACCACUGGCAUGCUCCUCCAAGACUGACUUUAGGUGAACUUGGGACAUAGAGUUCAGAGACGUGAGGGACCAAAGAGGGGCCUGGGUACCUUUGGAUUGGCUGCAUAUUCGGGAUUUGGCUCACCUUAUGCAGAAGAGGGACUGUGCUGACGUCCAGAUGUCAGGAGAGCCCCCGGGGACACUGAAGGUGUGGAUGAUGAAGCCACAGGCUGGCUCGGGCUCCACUGCCCCUCAGAAAGAGAGGAAUUCAGCCCCCCUGUCCUAACGCUUCUACACUGACCUGCCGAUGUCCAGAAGAGAGGGGACUCCUGGGCUGGCUUAAUAUCAAUAAUAACACCAGUGUCCUCUCUUUCUUCAACUUCCCUCUGGAUGGUGAGGACUUUGAAGACCUUGAGGGGAGGCAAGCUACAGGAUGGAGGGGGCCUGGGUCCCUAAAUGACUGCAUGGAGCAGUGCUCUCUCUCCUCCACUGACCUGCUUUGAACUUAUGGCAUGAGUAAUAAACUGACUCUUCUGGAAUUAAAAGCCUGAGAC